AUUCCAGCUCCAACAGCGUAUAUUUUAGUUGUUGCAGUUAAAAAGCUCGCAGUUGAAUUUCUGGUGGGAAGAUGCGGACGGCCUCAUGGCUUGUUCCAAGUCUUCCGGCCAUCCUUGGGUGGAGCUCGUCUGGCAUUAAGUUGUCGGGCGGGGGAUGCCCAUCGUUUACUGUGAAAAAAUUAAAGUGUUCAAAGCAGACUUAUGUCGUUGAAUAUAUUAGCAUGGAAUAAUAAGAUAGGACAGCAGUGCUAUUUUGUUGGUGUGCGCACCGUUGUAAUGAUGAAUAGGGACAGUUGUGGGUAUUUAUAUUCACUUGUAAGAGGUGAAAUUCUUAGAUUAAGGGAAGAUAAACUACUGCGAAAGCAUUUACCAAGGAUGUUUUCAUUA
rnacentral:rRNA from 1 species